CAAUCACUAGGAGCAGCCCAGCAAUCACUAGGAGCAGCCCAGCAAUCACUAGGAGCAGCCCAGCAAUCACUAGGAGCAGCCCAGCAAUCACUAGGAGCGGGCCGGCUAGCAGCGCCCUUGGCCACCUACACUAGCACACGUGGAUGACUCCUAGCAACACAAGCACAAAGGUACACACACACGCUACUUCACGAACCGCUGCUGCUAGCCACAUCCAAUCCUAAGGACAUUUUGUUUUCCUCUAUAAAUUAAAGACUAAGUACAUUUUGUCUUCUGUGGCGCGUCUCGCUGGCCACUGAGGAGGACAAGUGUAUAAAUGCAACGCUUGAGUAACCAGAAAACGAAUCAAUGUCGGUAGGAACGCAAAACGCCAAUGCUUGCGUAAGUGUCUGGCGUGAAAAUGUCAACAAAUAAUAGCAAAAAAAUUCCUCCAAACCACAUGAUUUAGAAUACAGACAAACCUUCUUGUGUCAAGAUGAAAACAAAUGACCACAAACUAAAACGCUAUAAAUCCUGUCUUGAUUCACAAUCCACAGGCAGGCAGUCAAGUAAUGCCCCGACGGUCUCUAAGGCUUGGCCAGUGUUAGUAAGAGCUAUGUCUAAGGAACACUCACAACACGCCCCUCUAAGUGGUGGCCUGGCAAGGAGGUGACCCAAGAAUCCCUCUCUGCAGACCAAGGAUAAAUAACAAAGGUAAUGGUACAUGGUUAGGGAAGCUUGUCCUCAUCUUGGGCAUAUUUCCAGCAACUUAAUUCAAUGAGUGACACUAUACCGGGAACUCCAGACAAGAAGGUGACCCAAGAAUCCCUCCCUGCAGACCAAUGAUAAAUAACAGGUAAUGGUACAUGGUUAGGGAAGCUUGUCCUCAUCACAGGCAUAUUUCCAGCAACUAAAUUUAAAGAGAUGAGUCACGCUGUACUGGGAGCUCCAGACAAGAAGGUGAUCCAAGAAUCUCUCCCUGCAGACCAAUGAUAAAUAACAGGUAAUGGUACAUGGUUAGGGAAGCUCAUCCUUAUCUUGGGCAUAUUUCCAGCAACUAAAUUUAAGAGAUACUGGUAAGAGUCACAUUGCAUACCAUCAUGUAGUACCGGGAACUUUUCAAUGUCUUUUCAAUUUGCUGCGUCUCCAAGGACACGUUUCUUCUAAAAAUCGUCUUAGGAACUUUGCCUCAGAAAAAAAAACCUUUGAUGGAAAUGUCGAGGAUUCGUAACGUCACUUUUCACACCGGCAAAACUUCUGUCGCGUUAAGUGUCGUGGAAGAGUAAAUAAUAUACAUACAAUUUAUACACUAUUGCUCACUACUGUUUGUUAGGCAGCAAGUAUACGGUAACUUAACCAUAGUGAAAGCAUCGAGGGAGAAUGGCGGCCGACACAGUGACGUAGUAAUCUGUUGUAAGCUUAAAAACAAAAUAUUACCGUUCCCCAUAAAUAGGAUCUGUGAUAGACUGUCUUAGAAUAAAAAAAAUUCCAGAUUGCAUGAAAUGUCCGUAAAGGUGAAGAAAAAGGUUGUGUUAGAGGAAUUAAAACAAAAAUGGCAACAACUUUGGCUGUACAUUAUAACCAAGCGCAACACAACGUCCCAGUACCUCAAUUAACUGGACACACAAAAUAGCCCCCCCCCCAAAAAAAAGCCCACAUUCUGAGACACUUCAUCACCCAACCUCACAUAUCUAGGCUUUCGUAGGAGUCCAGGUCACAUCCUUGGGUAGCUUUAUGACCCUGGUGGUAGGCUGACCCUUCAUCUGUACCAGGAACCUAAAGAAACGCAUAUUUGACAAGGCUUUCGUAGGAGUUCCGGGCAUUUCCAGGGGUAGUUUUAUGACCCUGGUGGUAGUCUGACCCUUUAUCUGUACCAGGAACCUAAAGAAACACAUAUUUGACAAGGCUUUCAUAGGAGUCCUGGUCACAUCCUUGGGUAGCUUUAUGACCCUUGUGGUAGUCUGACCCUUCAUCUGUACCAGGAACCUAGACAAACACACAUUAGAAUCCAUUUAUCUCCUUCUUGGCCGUUAGAUAUAGUUUGCGUGAGGGGCGGAAGCGUCUGAAAAUGUCGAGCUUAAACUAAACACCAGACAGCAGACCUCAAUGCACCCCACCUGUCGUUUCAUUAAGUAUCAUUACGGGCUACAAAGAUCUCAUGAACCUUACGCAAACUGUACAGAUAUCACAAGGCAGAGAGGCGGGGCGGUCAUGCAUGUGUGGUGGGAAGCAGCUGCCACGACUCAACCUCACACUGGCUCAAAUGUCAAAUCUAUGUACAAAGAAACUCUGGAUCUAUACAAAGUCAUUUUUUAAGAAUUUCAAAGGCAAAUGCAGCGUGUCCUAAGUCAAGUCCUCCAUGGAACUCGUUUUACAUACCUGCAUAGAACCGGGCAAACAUAACCCACAAAAAAGUCCCUAAUCAAUCCCUUCUAGAGCGUCAAGUGUGUGUUCGAGCUACCGUCCAGGAAACUGAGGUACUGCGGCAGGGUUUCCAUCCAUCCCUGGUCACUGGUCUGGGGUGCACUACGUUCUGGGUCACCGUGCACACUCGAUAACACUGCAUGAGUAUAUGGUAGCCAGGGGUGUGAAGUCGGAUGUGGAAAAUUUCAACUAUGACUCAAGUAAAGUUUAUGGUUGUGACUGCGAUUCUGACUCCCUUCCACCUCCCUUCCCCUUCUGCGGCACUGUGGAAGGCAAAUCAAACCCUGCCACACCACACCACACCACAUCACACAUAUCGUAAGGGGGAGAUAUUUUAAGCAAUUGCUAUUCAGAUUUCGACUUCACACCCCUGAUGGUAGCCACUGCUGGUAGGGAAGUGUAGGUGUAGGUAAUAUCUGUAUCAGUGUGUGUGUGUGUGUGUGUGUGUGUGUGUGUGUGUGUGUGUGUGUGUGUGUGUCAGCUUGUAACCCCCACUCCGAUCAGAACUCGCACCAGAAAACAUGAACUAGGCCUACUGAUGAAAAACUGAUCUGAGGUAUAUGAGAGAAUGUGAAAAAUAAAUAAAAAGGCGCAUCUUGACGGUAUUUCAUAUUUUUUUACUUUGUGGUCAGUUUUACAGGGAAGUUUUUUGUUAAUGGUAUGAACACUCAUGCCUGAAAACCUGAACUACUAAUGGGAUAUUGAUCAGAAGUAUACAAGAAAAUGCAAAAAAUAAAUUAGAAAUGAUAUCUUGACAGUAUUUUGUUGUCAUACUUCAGAUCAAUUUCCUAGAGUAGCUUUUUGUUAAUGAUAUGAACACUCACGGCAGAAAAACAUGAACUACUAAUGGGAAAUUGAUCGGAGGUAUACGAUAAAAUGCGAAAAAUAAAUUAGAAACAAUAUCUUGAUGGUAUUUCAAAUUUUCAUACUUCAGAUCAAUUUCCUAGAGUAGUUUUUUGUUAAUGGUAUGAGCACUCACGCCAGAAUACAUGAACUACUGAUGGGAUAUUGAUCGGAGGUAUACGAUAGAAUGUGAAAAAUAAAUUAGAAACGAUAUCUUGACGGCAUUUCAAAUUUUCAUACUUCAGAUCAAUUUUCCAGAGUAUUUUUUUCAUGCUACUUGCGGAAACUGAGUCAAGGUAUGAGAUGGGGCAAAAAAUAAAUUAGGAAAUAUAUCUUGACGGUAUUUUUUCUGUAGAACGAGAGAAAUAAAUAUGGGUUUUCAUUACGCUGUUUUCCCUGUUCAUUUAGAGAGGUAGAGAGAGAUAGAGUAGUUUAAUUUCCUGGUACGAGCUCUGAGUGGAGUGACGGAGACAAGCACACACACACACACACUCACACACACCCUAUAGGAACACCUUAUCCACCAGCUCAGCGGCUGUGAUGUAAGGCAUAAGGGACAACGCAAAGUGACGAGAGGGUAGUCGAUAACCUAAUACUACUAAGCUAAUUAUUCUGAUCCUCAACCAGAACUAGUAAAGAAUAAUAAUAAGUGUUUAAAGUGCAACUCACCUCAAUAUAUGAUAGAAAAUAAAGUGCACUGACGGACAGACAAAAUAAAUUAAUGAAGAUAAUGAUUGUAAAUUACCGAAUGAAGAAGAAAGAAGAAGUUUAAUGACAUAUGCGGCUAUUCUUCUCUCUGUUUUUUUUUCUGCGGAACCGAGAUAUCUUUUUUUUUUAAACUCUCUGUGAAACGCUAUUUACAAAAGUCCUUACGU